UACGUAGGGAGCAAGCGUUAUCCGGAAUCACUGGGCGUAAAGCGUCUGUAGGUGGUUCGAAAAGUCCACUGUUAAAAAUUGAGGCUUAACUUCAAAGAUGCCGUGGAAACUUUCAAACUAGAGUAUGGUAGGGGUAGAGGGGAUUUCCAGUGGAGCGGUGAAAUGCGUAGAUAUUGGAAAGACCACCGAUGGCGAAGGCACUCUACUGGGCCAUUACUGACACUGAGAGACGAAAGCUAGGGGAGCAAAUGGG
rnacentral:rRNA from 1 species